rnacentral:rRNA from 1 species
CCUACGGGUGGCAGCAGUGGGGAAUAUUGCACAAUGGGGGAAAGCCUGAUGCAGCGAAGCCGCGUGAGUGAAGAAGCCCCUCUGCGCUGAAAGCCCUGUCAGCAGGGGAGAAAAUGACGUUACCUGAAGAAUAAGCCCCGGAUAACUACGUUCCAGCACCCGCGGCAAUGCGUCGGGGGCAAGCGUUAUCCGGAGUUACGGGGUGUAAAGGGGACGCAGACGGCUGUGUAAGCGAGGAGGGAAAGCGCGGGGGCGAACCCCGGGUAUGCCGUUGGAACUGGGUGGCUGGAGUGGAGGAGGGGUAGGCGGAAGGCGUGGUGUAGCGGUGAAAUGCGUAGAUAUCGGGAGGAACACCGGUUGCGAAGGCGGCAUGCUGGCCUGCAACUGACGUUGAGGCACGAAAGCGUGGGGAGCAAACAGGAUUAGAUACCCGAGUAGUC